rnacentral:lncRNA from 1 species
AAAAAAAAAUUUUUGUAUAAUUUGAAGCUCUUGCUUAAAUAUUUUCUUUUUCUUACUACUUGCCUUCAAGAGGUGCUCUUUUAAGAAUUAUUAAACUCCAAUCUUCCAAGAUUUUCUUCUUUAACACACAACAAAUUCGAGUGAAACACUCUUUUUCGAUCCUACUUUUGUCCUCUUACACAUUUUUUCUCAAAGAAGUCAAGUUGAUCCUACAAUGACUAAUAUCUACCAACU